rnacentral:rRNA from 1 species
GCUUCGGCUCUUUCCCCCCAGCGAGCUGCACUGCUGCUAGUUAACCGCAAGCGGCCGUCGUCUUUUCCCUCCUCAAAAAAGCAGCCGAGGGGGGUGGUGACUGGAGGCGGAGGCAGAGGGAGGAGCAGCGCCAGUGCGAGCGAUAGUGGGGGAGCUCGGACGAGGCCUAGGGCUUCCGGAGACCGCCUCCUCCCGCGCCGCCGUUCGCCGGACUUGCUUGCUCAGCGGCCAUCAUGGUUAGGAAGAAAAGAACUGGUCCUGGCAGCCCUGGAGAGAGUUCUGGGGAAGCUUCCGGAGCUUCUGGGCAGGGUUCCUCGCAGCGAGCUGAGAGAGCUCCUCAACAGCAUGGUGGAGGACGUGGUUUGGCACCUCAACAGCAUGGCCGUGGUGGGGGGCAACACCAGGGCCGCGGUGGGCACUAUCAGGGCCAUGGAGGAUCAGCUUCACACUAUCCAGGUGGUGGCCCACCUGAAUAUCAACAGCGUGACUAUCAGGGGCGGGGACAUCCAGGUGGUGGUCCACCUGAAUAUCAACAUCGUGACUAUCAGGGGCGUGGACAUCCGGGGGGUGGCCCACCUGAAUAUCAACCACGUGACUAUCAGGGGCGUGGACAUCCGGGGGGUGGCCCACCUGAAUAUCAACCACGUGACUAUCAGGGACGUGGUGGUCCGCGCCCCAGAGGUGGAGUGCCGCAGCCAUACUAUGGCGGGCAUAGGGGAGGUAGUGCUGGACGUAACGUUCCUCCAGGUCCAUCAAGAACAGUUCCCGAACUGCACCAAGCCCCGCAUGUCCAAUAUCAAGCCCCGGUGGUUUCACCAUCCGCAUCGGGAGCUGGCUCAUCCUCUCAGCCUGUGUCAGAGGUGAGCAGUGGACAAGUCCAGCAACAGUUUCAGAAACUUGCGAUUGUUGAUCAAAGUUCAACAAGCCAAUCCAGUCAACUGGCACCAGCAUCAAGCAAAUCAGUUAGAUUUCCAUUGCGCCCUGGAAAGGGUACACAUGGAGAUAGGUGUGUCGUGAAGGCAAACCAUUUCUUUGCUGAGCUCCCUGAUAAAGACCUUCACCAAUAUGAUGUCUCCAUAACUCCAGAGAUUACAUCACGUGGUGUCAAUCGUGCUGUGAUGGCAGAACUUGUUAGGCUCUAUAGACAUUCUCAAUUGGAUGGACGCCUACCUGCGUAUGAUGGAAGGAAGAGCCUAUAUACAGCUGGGCCAUUGCCAUUUCCUUCAAAGACAUUUGAAAUUACUCUGCAUGACGAAGAAGAAAGCCUUGUUGGUGGUCAAGUCGCACCAAGCUGGAAGGCAACCCGAUGCACCUCAAGAAGCUCUUCAGGUGCUUGACAUUGUGCUGCGUGAACUGCCUACUGCCAGGUAUUCUCCAGUUGGCCGAUCAUUUUAUUCUCCAAACUUAGGGAGACGUCAGAAACUUGGUGAUGGUUUGGAAAGCUGGCGUGGAUUUUACCAAAGUAUAAGACCUACACAGAUGGGGCUUUCGCUGAAUAUUGAUAUGUCUUCUACUGCAUUUAUUGAGCCUCUUCCUGUGAUUGAUUUUGUUGCUCAGCUUCUGAGCAGAGACAUCUCAGUUAGACCCUUAUCUGAUUCAGAUCGUGUGAAGAUUAAAAAAGCCCUAAGAGGUGUAAAGGUUGAGGUUACACAUCGAGGAAACAUGCGUAGGAAAUACCGUAUAUCUGGACUAACUUCACAAGCAACACGAGAGCUAUCAUUCCCUGUUGAUGAUCGUGGUACUGUGAAGACUGUGGUGCAAUACUUCCUGGAGACUUAUGGUUUUAAUAUUCAGCACACCACUCUACCUUGCUUGCAAGUGGGCAAUCAGCAAAGGCCUAAUUAUCUUCCUAUGGAGGUUACUAUCUUGAACAAUCUCGCUUGCAUUGAUUUGAAAAUGAUAUGCUCAUCUAUGUGCUACAUCCAGUCUCAGCAUCUUGUCGAGUUGUUCAAUGAGUUUAUCACUCUGAAAUAUCAGGUUUGUAAGAUUGUUGAAGGACAACGUUACUCGAAACGACUGAAUGAGAAACAGAUAACUGCUCUACUGAAAGUGACUUGCCAGCGCCCUCAAGAGCGUGAGAAGGACAUCUUGCAGACAGUGCAUCACAAUGCAUACUAUGAAGAUCCAUAUGCACAGGAAUUUGGCAUAAAAAUUGAUGAGCGACUUGCAUCGGUUGAAGCUCGUGUUCUGCCUCCGCCAAGACUUAAAUACCACGAUAGUGGCAGAGAGAAGGAUGUCUUGCCCAGGAUCGGCCAAUGGAACAUGAUGAACAAGAAAAUGGUGAACGGUGGUAGGGUCAGUCACUGGGCAUGUAUAAACUUCUCUCGGAAUGUGCAAGAUAGUGCUGCCAGGGUUUUUUGCCAUGAGCUUGCUAUAAUGUGCCAAAUAUCUGGAAUGGACUUUGCACCUGAACCUGUGCUGCCCCCACUUACUGCGAGACCUGAACAUGUAGAAAGAGCACUAAAGGCGCGUUAUCAAGAUGCCAUGAAUAUAAUCAGACCCCAGGGAAGAGAACUUGACCUGCUAAUUGUAAUACUGCCUGACAAUAAUGGUUCUCUUUAUGGGGACCUCAAAAGGAUUUGCGAGACUGAUCUUGGAUUGGUAUCUCAGUGUUGUCUGACAAAACAUGUUUUUAAGAUGAGCAAGCAGUAUCUUGCAAAUGUAGCUCUGAAGAUUAAUGUUAAGGUGGGUGGAAGGAAUACUGUACUUGUGGAUGCCUUGACAAGGAGGAUUCCCCUUGUCAGUGACAGACCAACAAUAAUAUUUGGUGCUGAUGUUACACACCCUCAUCCUGGAGAAGAUUCCAGUCCUUCCAUUGCUGCUGUGGUUGCUUCCCAAGACUGGCCUGAGGUCACUAAGUAUGCAGGAUUAGUUAGCGCCCAAGCCCAUAGGCAAGAGUUGAUACAGGAUCUUUUCAAAGUAUGGCAAGAUCCCCAAAGAGGAACUGUGACUGGUGGCAUGAUCAAGGAGCUUCUCAUUUCUUUCAAGAGGGCAACUGGACAGAAACCCCAGAGAAUCAUAUUUUACAGGGAUGGUGUCAGCGAGGGACAGUUCUAUCAAGUUCUUUUGUAUGAACUUGAUGCCAUUAGAAAGGCAUGUGCGUCCUUGGAGCCCAAUUACCAGCCUCCAGUUACUUUUGUAGUCGUCCAGAAGCGUCAUCACACCAGGCUUUUUGCUAAUAACCACAAUGAUCAGCGUACUGUUGAUAGAAGCGGAAACAUACUGCCUGGCACUGUUGUUGAUUCAAAGAUUUGCCAUCCGACCGAGUUCGAUUUCUACUUGUGUAGCCACGCUGGCAUUCAGGGAACAAGCCGUCCUGCUCAUUAUCACGUUCUAUGGGACGAGAACAAAUUCACUGCUGAUGAGUUGCAAACUCUAACAAACAACUUGUGCUACACGUAUGCUAGGUGCACCCGCUCUGUAUCAAUUGUGCCCCCGGCAUAUUAUGCUCAUUUGGCAGCCUUCCGGGCUCGGUUUUACAUGGAACCGGAUACCUCUGACAGUGGGUCCAUGGCAAGCGGUGCCCGUGGCCCUACACAGGGUGGACGCAAUACCAGGCCGUUUGGGAACGUUGCUGUCAGGCCCCUCCCCGCCCUGAAAGAAAACGUGAAGCGGGUCAUGUUUUACUGUUAAGGUCGGAUGGUCAUUGUUUACACUAUUAUGCAAACCUGAAGAUAUUCGACUGAGUUUGGGUGUGUUAAAAGUAUCCGCACUGCAUUGGUGGCACUGGGAGAUCUCCGCCAUGCAAAAACUUUCGUUGUUGCGCAGUGUGAAACUCUGUAACCGUCUACCUAUCUGUGGUCGUAUUUGAACUACCCUGAAAUCAUUUCUAGUUUGGGAAGGACUUCUGCCUGUUAUUUUAAAAGUCUAUAAUCAUGUUGGGAUCUAAUGACGCUAAAUGUUACUCCGUAUGUAUUUAUGGCAGCCAUCUGCUGGGGUCCUUUUGUUUGUUGACUU